rnacentral:lncRNA from 1 species
UUCGACUACACAUUACAUGUCCAGCUGAUAUACAUUUAUAUUUACUACUACAUCUAAAAAUACAUUGUAACACACAUAUAUUGUAAAACUCUGCUUUCCAUACAGAGUUUUAAUACACUAACAUGACUUAUAAUACCAUGUUUUUCUAACAGAAUUUGAAUAUAACAAAAUUCCAACAUGUCCGGUCUUUAAAAAAUCUAAGAUCGUAUUUAUUCCAACCCAAAAUAGACAACAAUGACUAUAAGAGUUUAAGUUUUACGCAAGCGAGCCUCGUCGCCUCGAUGAAUCCUUUCCUACCAUUCCAGCUAGGCAAGACUGCCUCCAUUCCCUGCAACAUAGUAUGUAUCCGUGAGUGAUUUCAUCACUCAGUAUGUAAAGCAUCCACACUAACCUAUCUCAAAUCUCAAGCUAUUUCACUCUACAAUUAGUAAAGGAUGCACAUAAUAAGCAAGCAAUAAGUAAACCCCUAAUCUAGUUCAUCAAUCAAUCAUCAUUCAUAAGACCCAUAUGGGUCGUCAUUUGUCAUUCAUCAUUCACCGUCGGUUAGGCGUCAAAACACCUCAGUCAUGUUUCACUCGUGCAUUCAUUCCUUCCUUCCUUCAUUUAUUCAUUCAUUCAUUCACUCGUUCAUUCAAUUCCUUAACUCAUUUACACAUGCAUUUCUACCCUUGGUUCCCAUGUCCAUUCAUGUAAUCCCUCCCCUAAUCAUUUUAUCAUGUUUAAAUCAGCAACAAUUCCAGUCAAUUAAAUCAGUUAGCAAUCAUGGUCAUCAUACAUGAAAUCAAUUACUACUUACUUCACUCAACAUGAAUCAUGAUGACACAUUAUUGACAUGUUCCUUUUAAUGUUUCUUAAUAUACAUUAACUAUCUCAUGUCCCUUCUAACAUUUUAACCUUUUAACAUUUGAACAUAUUAAUAGUUUAACAUUUUAAAAUAUCCUAACAGUACUUAGUUUACUUGAUAAUUUAGAAAAACCUUAGGAUUGCUAAAACAUAGAUAAGAUAAAUAUAGAAAGCAACAGGAUCAUCAUGGUAUUUUAUUUGAGAGAAAUUUGAUUUAAACCUUAGGAUUGCUAAAACACAUAUAAGAUAAACAUAGAAAGCAACAUGAUUAUCAUGGUAUUUUAUUUCAGAAAAAUCUGAUUUAAACCUUAGGAUUGCUACCAUACAGAUAAGAUACACAUAAAAAGCAAUAGGAGCAUUAUGGUAUUUUAUUUGAGAGAAAUCUGAUUUAAAUUAACUACUCUUAAGUCUUAACAGUAGCUAAAUAUACCAUUGGUUAUCUCCCUGCCUCUCUACACCAACAGAUCUACCAUCUACAAUUAUAGAUCCAAAAUCACCCCAAUAAAAUCAUAACAAUUAUCAAAUUAACUAUUUAUUUUUCUGACCAGAACACUAAGAGAUCCACCGCUUAUGGUAUUCUCCUUCUAAGUGAAAAUGAAUUUACAACUAAAAUCUAAAAGAAGAAAAAGAAACACAUCGAUCAGAAAUCAAUUAAUAUAUCCUACCGAUAUACCAUUUACAAUCAUCGAUCCGAUAUCACCUCAAUAAACCAACAACAAUUGAUUCUAUUUAUGACCAGAACCACUAAAGGAUCCACUGCUUAAGGCAUCCUUUAACUCCGAUCAUAUAUGUGGAUUUACAUCAUGGUGCCCACCAUGAUUUUCAGAUCAUUAGACUCUAGAAAAAUGAAACACAUCCGUUUUCCCUCCCUCACAUUCUCAAACCCUAGACAUGGAAUUUAGAAAAAGUAACUCUACAUACCUCUUCCGUUGUCAGUCGAGCUUCACACCUACCACACCACGACACUGGUGCUCCCUUACAGAUCUCAACCACGAUGCCUUAGCCGUCCUCCCUUUCUCCUAGCCGCCCUCCUUCUUCCUCUUCCUCCUUCC